rnacentral:rRNA from 1 species
AAUGCUUGGGAACAUGCCUUGAGGUGGGGGACAACAGUUGGAAACGACUGCUAAUACCGCAUAAUGUCUACGGACCAAAGGGGGCUUCGGCUCUCGCCUUUAGAUUGGCCCAAGUGGGAUUAGCUAGUUGGUGAGGUAAUGGCUCACCAAGGCGACGAUCCCUAGCUGGUUUGAGAGGAUGAUCAGCCACACUGGGACUGAGACACGGCCCAGACUCCUACGGGAGGCAGCAGUGGGGAAUAUUGCACAAUGGGCGCAAGCCUGAUGCAGCCAUGCCGCGUGUGUGAAGAAGGCCUUCGGGUUGUAAAGCACUUUCAGUCAGGAGGAAAGGUUAGUAGUUAAUACCUGCUAGCUGUGACGUUACUGACAGAAGAAGCACCGGCUAACUCCGUGCCAGCAGCCGCGGUAAUACGGAGGGUGCGAGCGUUAAUCGGAAUUACUGGGCGUAAAGCGUACGCAGGCGGUUUGUUAAGCGAGAUGUGAAAGCCCCGGGCUCAACCUGGGAACUGCAUUUCGAACUGGCAAACUAGAGUGUGAUAGAGGGUGGUAGAAUUUCAGGUG